CUCCAAAGCUACAACUUGGGAGCAGGUUGUGGAUGGGCAACAUUGGAUUAGGAUCAAGAUUCCUUCUUUUAUGAGUCUAAUGGCAUCUGUAGGCUAAGCUUCUGAGUCCUUCAGGCAGCAACAUGGAACUUUCAACCCAAGGGGAUCCAGCUGCCAAAAGGGGGGAAAAAUCAAGAGCUGCUCUUAAAAGAAGUUGCCCUUGCUGGUGCUCCGGGUAAAAAUAGAGGCGGCCGCUGCGCAAGGCUUGGCCCAGACUCCAGCCCCGCGAGCCGAGCUCGAGCAGCGGCCGCGAUCCGGCGUGAUCCCCGGGAGCUGCCAGCAGGUGUUGCUCAAGGUACAGUAGCAGGCCGAGCAGCGGGACCGCAGGGCCGGGGUGGGGGAACUGGGGCGCGGGGGGAGGGGGCAGGAAGUGAAAGAGAAACCAAGUCGAGGAAGGAACUGGAGAUGCUGAUCAGGAGCUGAGCGGACCAGCUCCUCCACUCCCCGGAGCCCUGGAGUCCGGCAGGGAAAAGAUCAUUCCCCCAUCCACAAGAGUCGACAGAAGUUAUUUUAACCUGCCUGCUUCCUCUACCACCUCCACCUCAUUUCCACUGAGUGAGGAGGCAUUUCCCGCGUGGCUCAGCUCUGAGGUUGGGGAUUCAGGUGGAGAAUGAUAUCACAGCUGGUGGGCUGACCUAGGCAGGUGGGCACCUUGGUGGCAUCCGUGGCCAACGCGAUCUGAAUCACCCGAGAGAGAGGGUGGCUUCUGUGGUCGGGGUGCUGCAUAUUCUUGUGACACAUAUGUUCAGAGAGAGGCACCAGGAAAUCUUUAUCACCCAAUAUUUUCUGAGCACGUGCUUGAUCCUGCAGUGGAGUAGGUGGAUCCCACUUUAUAGAUGAGUACACUGAGGGCUGAGGUUAUCUGGUUGGUAAGCAUUAAAACUGGGGUCUCAUCCAGGUUGAUUUGUGCCCCGAAACUCAUAAACAUGGUGCUAUUUCCAGGACACCAGGGUUCAUGUGGGGAGGAGGGGUGAAUUUAGAUGCCCCACCACCACCCCCCAGGUCUCAUCCAAAAAGGAUCGGGAAGUUCCUUUCUUAUAGAGAGGUUGGAUCCAUCCAGUUCAAACCUGAUGGGCAGCUUUGGAGUUAACCAACACUGAUCCUGUUUCUAUCUUUCCUUCUCAGAUUCCUUCUGUUUCUGUACAACCUAACAUUUUAUUUCCUACUUCAUUUCUGAAUAUGCAAUUCUCAGACUACUCUGCCCCACCCCAAUAUACAGUUCAGCACCUACACGUGCUCUGUGUUUAGCCAAGACAGACCCCUUGAGACAAACUUCUGGUGUCCUAAAGGAACCUGCUUAAACUGCACAUCAGGAGACCAGAGUCUCUAUAUUUUGCUUGUGGGCACAGUGAAAAGUUUAUUUUAUGCAUGUUAAAUCCUGCAUACAAAACAACAUAUCUGGUCAUAUGGCUUUCAUUAGCUCCCAAUUUUGCACGUUUUAUUCAACUUGUCAUGAAUACCCGACUUAGGCUUUAGCUAUGCUUCUUCUAACAACCCUUCCCCAGCAUUCUUGUCUGAGAAUUCCUUCCUCCUAUGUUAUCCCUGACUAGCUAACUCUGCCUCCUCCCUCCCCCAAAACACCCUGACCAACUUAACUCCAGUUUCAAGAAAUGUUCACUUUUUUUCAUUAAUCUCACGUUGUAUUUGUAACAAUUUAGAAAUCAUAGGACUUGAAGUUCUGAUAAAGAAGAAUCAUGUAGGAGAUUUUUUUUCUUUUCUUUUUCUUCUAGUUAGAUUGGGAUUCUAAAGGCUUGGGAAGCAUACUUAUAAAGUUCACUAGCAGAGAGUGACUAUCUCCAAAGUUCUCAGUGAUAAAUGAUUUAUAAAGCAGGUAUUCAAUUUCAAGAUGUAAAAUAAUAGUGUAAGUCAAGAGAGGGAAGAACAUCAUCCCAUAGGGAUACAUAUUUCCCUUGGCUUUUUCUCAAUAAAACAUCUUAUUUUAAAAAAUUAAGUUUUUCA
rnacentral:lncRNA from 1 species